GGCAACAGCUCAAAUUUGAAAUCUGGCCUCACGGUCCGAGUUGUAAUUUGUAGAGGAUGUUUCGGGUGUGGUCCGGUCUAAGUUCCUUGGAACAGGACGUCAUAGAGGGUGAGAAUCCCGUAUGUGACCGGGUGCCUAAGCUCAUGUGAAACUCCUUCGACGAGUCGAGUUGUUUGGGAAUGCAGCUCAAAAUGGGUGGUAAAUUUCAUCUAAAGCUAAAUACUGGCCAGAGACCGAUAGCGCACAAGUAGAGUGAUCGAAAGAUGAAAAGCACUUUGGAAAGAGAGUUAAACAGCACGUGAAAUUGUUGAAAGGGAAGCGUUUACAAUCAGACUUGCGCGCGGCCGAUCAUCCGGUGUUCUCACCGGUGCACUCGGUCGCGCUCAGGCCAGCAUCAGUCUCGGUGGUUGGAUAAAGGCCGUGGGAACGUGGCUCCUCGGAGUGUUAUAGCCCACGGUGCCAUACAGCCUACCGGGACUGAGGACCGCGCUUCGGCUAGGAUGCUGGCGUAAUGGUUGUCAACGACCCGUCUUG
rnacentral:rRNA from 1 species